rnacentral:lncRNA from 1 species
UAUUUGUUAAUAUGUGUUAUUGCUAUUAAGACUUUGGAUAAAAUAUGCAAUUAAAUAUUUUUAAUUUUUGGUAUUAAUUGGUGCCUUUAUUCAAAAAGGCAAGCGCCUCGCCGCGUGGCGAGGCAGGCCCUUGUCGCCUUUUGUCGCCUCUCGCCGUCCACAACACUGGACCAAAUCAAAAUCUCCUCUAAACAGUCCCAAAUUUGUAGAUGUGAAAUCCUCUAAACUACAACUUCAUUUAGGGAACACAACACAAAUAUACAUAUGGUUGGGAACUGCAAAUCAAAUCUACCCAACUUGAAUAGAAAAUAUGAGCUGUUUCGGACCUAGAAAGAAUAACAAGGUAGGAAGAAAGCCCUGGAGCAAGUGAAGAACUGAAGGACAUUGGACAAAUAAUGGGGUAAUAGGGAUAAUGCACCAACAAUGGCAUGGAAGAAUUACCAUUUUCGGCAUGUCAGAAUCUGCACCUCCACCAGGAACAAGGAUGGCAAUACCCAAUAUAUGGACAUUCCAUGUAACAGUCUUGCGAUUUGAUAAGACAUGCCUGCGGAGAGACAUAAAACAUAGGAAGAGCAGCAAGGCAGCACAAUUAUCAUGGAUAUCAAAUUGAUUUGGAUCAGUAUAAUCAUAUCGCAUAUAAAAGUAAAAUUCAUGUCUUUGACUAGGAGGCAAGAAUAUCUACUAAUUAGAUGAGCUUUCUUGAUAUACUUACUCAAUUUUAGUCUGAAGUCGUGCAGUCGUAUUUUGAAUUUUGUUGAUGGAUGACAGAAUCUGUAACACGGAACACUAUCAAGUCACAACAGCAUCUAGCAUGUAAAGCCUUGCCUUAUUAAACAAUGUAACGACUAGUUUAGGUAUUUGAAAGUUAAAAGAGUUUUAAUAGAAGACGGUUCAAUUUUAAAGUUGAAUAUUGUUCCACAUUGUGUUUGACAUCUAUAAUUUGGUUACACAUUCAUCAAAUAAUCAAUGUCUGUCCUCUCUUUCAUUUUCCUAACAUGAUAUCAGGGCAUCUACGAUUUUGGUAGAGACGUAAAGCAUAUCCAUCAGUAAUCAGGUUCUCUAAAAUUUUCCUUUUUCAUGAAUUCACUUUUCUCUUUUCUGGUGACUGUUCUGGGAUUGCUUCUUUUCUAAGUAACCAUUCCGAUAACACUCUCAUUCGCACUGACAAUCCCAGCAGUGUACAUCUUUUGAUCAUUUCUAAGUCACGAUGCCUAUUUCUAGUGAUCGUCUGACACCAAUGUCUAUUGCAAAAGAUUGUUUUGGCGACAAUUAGGUGAAUGUUCCAAUAGUAUUUGGGCCCUUACCUGUAACUUCUACAAAGGCAUCGCCUUAUUCUGGUCAAUUUUUGCAUCUUUUGUUUGGAGAUUUAAGAAAAAAUAGUAUAGUUAAAAAGAUCUCCUAAAAAGAAGUUGCAAAAAUGACCAUAAAAAGGAGAUGCUACCACAAAAAUUGGUAUAACAUUUUAGCAACAUUCUUGUGAACUUCCAAUAAGUUGUUCCAAGGGCUCCAUCAGUACUAUUUUGCCAACUAUUUUCUCUGAUUCAAAGUAAGCAAAUUUCUUUCUUAACUUACGUUUGAGGAUAUGCUCGUAUGUAACUUAUAAGUUAGUCAUUGUUAAAGAAUGAAUCUUGGGAGCUCACUCAAUCCCAAAAAUUAGGGCAGCUUUGCGCAAGACCAUAUAAUGAGACCAAAAAGCCCUUAACCCACCGAUGUGGGACUCUUAACAGUUAUACAAGUCAGAAUCUGAGUUAAAAAUCAUCAAAGUUCUCCCAAGUAUUCUGGCUAAAUUACAUUUUUGUUUUAAAGAUGAGAUCUGAUUAGUUUACGCCGUAACUUAUAGAAGAUGUGCCCGGUGUUAGGAGAACUAGUCAAGAAAGUUAAUUCUAGAAUAUCUAUAUAUUUUCUGUUUCUACAGAUAUUAUAUAGACAUUGUCCUUGACUUCUACUAAUAGCUGUAUCCAUUCACAAACUUACUUUAUGCAUCUUUUCUGCACCCUUAUACUUGUUGCAUUAGCUCCGAAUCGCAAAGUAAAUUGAUGUUCUCUGUCACUGUUAGUGUUAGAACACCCAUUGUAUGAUGUUCAUUAUGAUAAGAAACAUUCAUGCAAAAUGAUAUAAAGGCAAUCAGAAAUCAAUUACCAAAUGAAUGUAACACAAUGACGUUGAACACCACUAAACAAAAUGUCAUGUUUUAAGUAGUAACUUGUAUGUUAUACAAUGAACGGAAUUUUGGUGAUCAGUGGAUAAACCUGGAGGCCAAAGUGAAAAUAAGACGACUAUCCAGAGAUCUCAGAAGUAUCAAAUUUUAUGGAGUUCUAUGUAAAACAAUCACAACAGCUUGAAUACUUACCCUGUCCUGCAGAGAGUAAGAGUGUUCCAAAAGGGAAGAAAGACUCAUAAUAUUCUUGAAACAUUCUAGAUCACAACUAAUUUGAAGUGGCUGGACAGAGGCCUGUUUAUACAAAGUUAUAGGAUGUCAAUCUCUGAAAAAACUCCUGUUCAAUAAUUAAAUAACUUAUAACAGCUGCAUAACAUUGUGGUGAUAAUAAAAAGUUUCCAACUGACUUAAAUAUUGUAAAAGCAAAGAAGAUGACAAUACCUUUACAGAUAAAGUAGAAUCCAGUUUUAGACGCGACAUGUCAAGUUGGAAACUUAGAGAAGGUUGAUGAAUUUUGGGCUUUCCUCGAUCAGAAUUUACCUAAGUUAACCAAAGCAUUAUAAGCUAUAACAGUUUAUAAUCAAAUAUUAUUUUAAUUAGUUGCAAGAAGUGAUGUGUAUGCAUAAAUGCAAGCAAACAUAGAGGCAAUUAACUAGCCACCUAGUUCAUAAGGGAUCAAAGAUGCACAACUAUUUACGGCAGAGACAUUAUAAGACCGGACUAUUAAUUGAGAGCAUUUUUAUUUAAUUUGGCUUACUUAAAGGGCAUUUUUGACCCUUUUCCAUUACAUUCAUGAGCCACAAAAUGAGUAUAGUGGAACUAUCACAAGGAAAGAUUUCAAAUUGUUAUCAAGACAGUAAUCUUUUUGAUGUGAGGCCAAAAAUAUAUAUUUUAAUAAUUAUUUGUAUUUUUCCUUUUUGAGCAUGAGUUUUAUGAAUUGUGUUAAAUAGUGUAUUUUAUUUGUAGAAGUAAAUUGGCGUAAAGAUGAAGAAGUUUGGAGCUAAAUGAAUUAAAGAUGGAAGAUUAUAGAAUGAAUAUAUAUGAAAAAAAAGGUCUCCUGAAAUUAAAGAAAGCAAAUUGAUGGCCGUUACUCAUUGACAUGUAGCAACUUCUGAAGGCACUUGCCAAUUGAUGAAAGACGCUAAUUGUUAAGGCGGUUGGACUGUUUCAUCUUGAAACCAAUUCCUGUUUGUUUUCGGUUCUCAAUUUGUUUUGGACUAAAUUAUUUUAUUUAGGGAUUUCUACAUCUACAAAUACUACUUUUUAGGGGGUUUUUUCUUUUUCUUAUUUUAUUAGACAUUAGUAGCUCAAGACCCUUGUUCUGGAGUUGUAGCUACGGGUAAUUGUUGAACAUUGAUUGUUUUGAAUUAAUGUUGGUUGUCACUUAAAUUACUUUGUUAUUCUUGUUAUAGUAUUUCAUGUUUAAUCAAUAUAGAGAUAAAUAUAUUGUGUAUUCUUGAACUCGAGAGACGGAAAGGUAUAUAGACCAAAGAAUACAAAGAGUUCGAUCUCUCUUACAUACCACUUGCUCAGAUUCAUAUUUAGGAUUGACACUCAGAUGAACACUGAGCUUGAUUACUAAACGGGAUGAAAUAUAAAUGCUUAUGAAUUGACUAUUGUUCGCCCCUGCUCUCGAUGUCGUUAGAUAGUCAACUGGAGUACGAGAUUAGAGGUCGAGAGAUCAUGAUCAUAAAAUCUACCUUAUAAAUAAGUAAUUUGAUAACUGUGGUUUUUUUUAUUUCCCACCCGGUAUCCACAACCCACAUUGGAGCUCCGACUAAAUCUGUGGCAGGGCCCAUUCGGGGGUAGCGCUCCCAACAGGAUUUUCACCAUACCAGAGCUUGAACCCGAGACCUCUGGUUAAGGGUAAAACACUCCCACCAAUAUACCACAACCCAUGUUGGUUGAUAAGCGUAGUUAAUUCAUGCAUAAAAUGUGAUACCUUAAGCAUACUGCAGCCCUGGAAUUAUACCACUUAUUGUAAGUAAUUUUAUUGUUUUAUUCUUGCAUUCUUAAUAUUCAAUUAUAAAUUAAACUCUUUUGGCACGCUUGAAUAAAUAAUUAGACUAGUAUAAUUCAUUAGAAUAGUUAAUCGACAAAUCCUUUGGAUUUGAUAAUCUAGCUCUUUUAGAACCACAAUAUUACUUGCGCAACCACUAAACUUACAUGUGCAACGGGAAGUAACAUGAAUAUGGACAUGUCACUCAAAAAUAUUAACUUCUUUAACAUAGACUAACCCUUGUUCGUAAAACGACUUGUUUGUUGAAUGGAUUAAGCAUCUUGACCGAGUUUAUUUCACCAAUGAUAACAGCAGUCUCCUCCCAAGUCUCACACCCAACAGAAAUCCCUUCAAGUACCAAAUUGGCAACGGCAUAACCCAGCUUCCUAGAAAAUAAAACAGAAGAGCAACUUGUGAGUGCACCAUAACAUAAAUCAAUACAACUAUAAAUCUGGAACAAGUGAGGUCGACUAUGAAUCGUCAUUCCCCAUGUUAAUCGAUUCCAACUCACUUCAGGUCAAUUCCAUGUACUUCAUAAAAUAGGUAUCAGGCCAAGGGUCAAGAAAAGACAAACACACAUAUUGUCUUUGAACUGAUUAGUCUAUUUGUUGUAUUCAGUAACACCAGAGGCAUCACUGACAUAUGUAAAUGAAAGGGAGAGGCUUCAAAGAAAAGCAACUUUGUAUGAAGUGUAUCCUAUGAACCCAUAGAAAGAGGUGGCAAAUAAAGUAAGGAACUUCAGCCCAAUUAGCUUCAUAUGAAGUGUUUAUGAGAUGAUGGCAACACUUCGAGCACAAAGUCGUAGGUAUCUCAAACCCAAGAUUUGUAGUGGAAGGCAGAUUGACAAACUGUCUCAAUUGCUUGUCCAUUUCUAAUUCAAAGUAGAUCCCCAGGUUGGCAGGUUACGCUUUUGAGGAGAGCUAAAUCUUUAAAAGAACAAGGAGAAAGGCUAUUGAAACAGUUGCGUGUAGAUUUAAUCACAAGAAUGAUUUCCAAAACUCAACCACUUAAAUUUUGAACCAUAAUGAUCAGAAAAGGAAAAAUAUAGAUUUAGUGUCAGAUAAAUUUGUCUUCUACAAGUAAGACAUCACACCCUACAUGCUCCGUAUACUAGCAGAAACUUGUUUGAUGUUGAACUUCAAUGAAGAGAAAUAGAUUUGAUUGUCAGCAGGAGCAUCAUCAUCCAGUGAUAGAACAGGCUGGAACUUAGUAGCUUCAUAUAUAUCCUGUUAAGAAAAAGUAUCAGUAAGUAUUUUUAGUCAAAAGUUGAAAUUCAUAGCAAUCACGUUAAUGCAAAUACCAACCCUUUAUAAACUUAAGUAAAACUAACUUAUUUUUAUAAAUGGUAGUGUUGUAUUCCUCAGCAUUAAGGAAUGCUGGCUACCUCAAAAAGUGUUACAAGAGAAGAAAAAAUAAAAUCUAGAUUACAGAGAGCCAAUGAAAUCUACAAGAUCUUCUAUUUCCUCUAUACAAUUUCAUUUAACCCCAAAAAACAGUGUGGAUAGGCAAUUCCCUUUCACAACAUGGAUGGGCUUAAAUUUGUUUUCCAAAGCAUCUCACAUUUCUUUCCUUCCACACUGACGACCAUAUGCAGGAUGGGAUUAUCCUACACCACUUCUUCUAAUCCUUGCUCCCCCUCUUCUGAUCCAACAGCUCAUUAGAUCAGCUGUAUGUUCAGGCAUUGUCCAUUCAGUCUUGGUGAUAGAGAACAUAUGCCAAAGUUGAGCAGUGAAUUUACUAUGUAGGAAGAGCCGAUUUGUUGAUCUCCCCAGUUUCAUAACACAAAAAACAUCUGGUCUAACAUCUUUUAUCAGAAAUAUAGCAAAUCCACAUAAAUGCAAACAAUGGAUGUUAUCCAUGUUUCAACUUACAUAAUCUAUUUUCUCUACUUAUAAAUGCACCUCAAAAGUUGGAUGAGAGAUUGUGCAAGAUUGGACAGUAGUAUAAAAGUUUUGUAUUUGAAUGAUCCACUAGUAUCUUAGUACGAAAUGUGGAUGUUAACUCGGAUGUGCAAAUCAUACAAAAUUGGAGAGAUACGGCAGAUAGUAUCCCGCCGGUAUAUUAUAACCAUACUAAGCACAAAGACUGGGAUAGGACAGAUAGUAUUCCAUCAUUUUAUUAUGACUGUGUUAAGCAUGAAGGCCCGGAUACAGCAGAUAGUAUCCCAGAAAUUAAAGAAGAUAGUAAUGUCAUCAAAAAGGACUAAGAAAGAUAAUAUGCAUAAUGAACUACAAGAUGUUCCUUAGCUUUCCUAUGCCACCACUAUGUCAUGUUUUAUGCCCCUAUUUCAUGAGCUUUAUUGCCUAUCUUAUGUCAUUCUGUCUGCCUUAUCAGACAAGUGUUAUUCCACGGUACUCAUGUCCCUUUUGUGGGGGACGCUGUAAUGAAUAAUGCAGGUUCAGACACUCGAGUGGCAGAACCACCUCCACCACCACUCACCACCUUGCUAGGCAUUCACUUCACAUCUCAAUUGUUAAUGGUGGGAUAGUAUCUGCCUGUUGAGUCGGGGGACUAUCUGAAAAAGCCUCUCUACCUCCAAGGUAGAGGUAAGGUCUACGUACACUCUACCCUUCGUGGGAUUACACUGGUAUGUUGUUGUUGCUCUUUGGCUUCUAGGGUCUUUCAGUGUCCGUCAUAUUGUCCGUGCAUACUGGUCAUCUUCAUACAGAUACUAGUGCUGCUGUUACCUUAUUUUAACCAAUAACACCUUGAUUUGUGCCUCCUAUUAAUUCUUCACAGUUUGCCACCUCAUGUAGCUAGUCUCUACCUUCUUUUUUUAUGAAGUAAAUGCUAUUUCUACCUCUUUUCUUUGAGAGAAUUCUUUUGUUAAUACCAUACUUCCUUCCAGUCUAUUAAAUAUUAGUAACCUUUACAGGACGUCAUUCUAUUCUACUACUAUUUUGAAGAUUCCAGGAAUCUUAUUGUUCCCUUCUUUUAGGUUUUCUUUAAACACAUUUAGCUUCUCGGACAAAAUGCAAUUAAGUACACCAUUAAUGUGGUAACAAUCUCAGCACUCACUGCUCACUAGAUCUACCAAUUUUUUAAUCAAGGCCACGUGUCCCCAAAUUUGAGGUUAAGAGCUACCUUUUUACCACUGUCCACAAUAUAGUAAUGGUGGACAUGGACCACACUAGAUCUUGGGUAAUAGUAAAUGUGUGAAAUUUGAAGUCAUUACCCCAUUCCCACUCCGACGAGUACAAAAAUUUAUUCAGAAAAUAGUAUGUAAGCAGGUGGAGAAAGUACAAGGCGCAAGCUAAGCCCCACAAAAAGCAUGUAAGUUUCUUUUCAUCAAAAAAGUAGUAGUAUGUAAGUUUCUAUGCAUACUUCCAUUCAUACUGAGAAUAUGUCAAUUAUAUUAAUUCCACAUGACUUCAGAACUAUACAGUCCAUUAUGAAACAACAAACAAUAUAAUAUUUGCUUAUUUACCUUUUUAUUUUUUUUUUGCUUAUUAUAAGCAAUGCAAAUAUAUGAAAUAAGCGAAAAGGAGUGAUAAGGCUCACCUUGACAACAUCAUCAGAAAUAACACCAGAAAAUUGGCUAGAAUCAUCAGUUCCUCCAGCACCAAGCAUGCCACGUGAUAGCCAAUUUAACCAUCCACGAGGCUUGCUGGACAUAUGCUCAUCCUCCAUAGGUUUGACAGUAUUGACAAUGUUGCUUACAUUACUCGAAGAAGAAUUCAACAAAAUAUCCUGUAAACCCAGCGAAAACAAUUAUUUAUGUAUUUCUGUGUUUGCGUGUGUAUAUAAGGGAGUUUUUAUUCAACAAAAAUGAAGAAUAGCAAUUCAACAAGCAUGAAAAAACAAACUGUUGAGACCCACCCCCCAAAGAAAGUUCACUACUUAUAGAGAGUAAUUCUCUGAACAUUGUAAACUAAAAAGACGGAAUGAUAAGGCACACUAAACACUACUCCCACUGUUUCAAUCUGUGUGACUGAUUUUCUUUUUUAGUCUCUUUAAAAAUGAUGCCUCUAUACUAACUUGGCAACUCUUUGUUUCCAAAAUCUCACAUGGCAUAUUUAAAACCACAAGAUUAAAGGGCAGUUAGGUAUGGUACAUCUACAUAUCUUUAGUUUAAGACCACAAAAUUCAAGUUUUAUUUUCUUCAACUCUGUACCUAGUUAAAACAAGACAAGCAAAUUAAAACAAAGGAAGUACGUGAAUUCUUCUCAUAUGUCCAAGUCUAGGCACACAAAGUUACCCAGUACGUAUAUUGGUGGGAGAUAGCAGGUACUCCUGCAAUGAUCGAGGUUCGUGCAAGCCAGACCGAACACCACGGUAAUAAAAAGAUAUGAAACACAAAGCAAAAUGCCGAAAUGACAUAUUAUCUGCCUAUACCCACCACUUCAUUAAAUCUUUCUUUAACCAUAUAAAGAGCAUAUGUAUCCCGAGAUUCUCUCUUUCUCAGAAGUGAAUUCCCUCUCAAGGGAAAUGGAGUUCGACCACGGCUAUGAAAAGCUUAUUGAAAUAGGAGGAAAGAGCGUAAACUUGACUCUACAAGUUUCAGUUGCCUCCCUCUCCUGGCCCCCACCCCCCACCCCAAAACAAACAAAACAAAGUAGAACGGUUACUUGGUUGAUUAUUUCGUCCUAUCAAAGAAAAUGUGACUUGGUUAUUUUCGGUUGAUACCAUGCAUACAUUCAACAUCUCCAGUGAUAACAUUUACACCACCAGCUAUUAUUAUCAUAUCAGCUAGUUAGUUCUUCUAAAUGCAGAAUGAUUAGGAAUGCAACACAAUUUUGGCAAUAAUGACUAGUUCUUUCAAACUUAAACAUACCUGUAACUCACGUUCAGCAGUAGACCUGUAAUUUAGGAUGUCACCCACUUCAGAUUUUUUCUCCAUUUCCUCGAGCAUCUGAAGAACAUCCACAUCAAUCACCUGAGAUUCAAAGUAAAGAUAGACAGUGAUCAAAAUGCAAGCUUCCGGGAACUCUGCAGCCCACAACAGAAAAAUAUUUUCAGCACUUUCAGAAAAGUACCUUCCCCUAAAAGUUUGUGCCAAAAUUGAAACAAGAUUAGGUAUUCAAAUUAGAAACUGGCUAGCUGCAUAACUGUGCAGCCAAGGAAAAAAGAAAAUUCAGUCCUUUCAUAAUAGCACCUACCCCUAAAAGUUUGUGAAAAAGUUGAUACUAGAUUAGGUAUUCAAACAAGAAACUGGCUGUCUGCACAACUGUUGCACAAGAGGUUUAAAAAAGCAGGUCUAAAUGAUCACACCCUUGCCAUUGUUUUAGAAGGCAAAGAGGGUAAACUGAAAUUCGACAGGUGGAACACUCAAUAUCUAUCUCUGGGAGGUAGACUGACUCUCCUUAAUUCAGUUCUUGAUGCCCUCCCGAUAUUCAUGAUGUCCGUGUUUCCAAUUCCAACAGAGGUCAUUAAUUGGUUGGAUAGCAUCAGGAAAAACUUUUAGAGACAUCGGAACAAAGAAAGAAAGGAUUUUGCUUGGUUAAGUGGAAACACUAACAGUUGGAAAUAGGUACGGGAGUCUGGGAAGUAAGAAUCUGAACUUACAGAGCAAGGCACUCAGAAUGAAAUGGUUAUGGAAGUUCAUUAAUGAAAAUCAGUCUUUGUGGGUGUCUCUGUGUGUGUGUGUGUGUGAGAGAGAGAGAGAGGGGGGGGGGGAGCCAUUAAAACAAAGUAUGAGGAGGACGAUAAAUGGAUGACUCGGGAGGUUACUACACCUGAUGGGAUAAGCCUACGAACAUCCAUUAGAAAGCUGUGGAGUGAAUUCAAGAUCAAUACCAAGAUGAAAGUACUUAAUGGGGAAAAACUCACUUUUGAAAGUAUGAAUGGGCAUGAGAUUGGCAGUCUAGAAAUGCUUUUUCCAGAUAUAUACAAUCUAGUUCUACACCAACAAAGAACUAUAGCAGAACUUUGGACACCUCAAGGUUGGAGCUUUACUUUCGGAAGACAGCUUAAUGACUGGGAAACUCAAAGUGUGGCUGAAUUCUUUACACAAUUGAACAGCUCAUGGGGCUUCAGACAGGAGAAGAUGUAUUUUGGUGGCUGGGGAAUAACAGUGUCUCUUUCAAGGUUUAUGCAGAUUACAGAAUGAUGAACCACUCCAAUCAACAGUUGGAAACAUAUUUAGAAAACCAAAAUACCACGCAAAGUAGCUUGCUUAGUGUGGCUUCUGGAUAAGGAAGCAACCUUACACAGGAUAAAUUGAUGAGGAGAGGGAUCCCAUUGUAUUUUUUUUUUUAUGACAAGGAAAACCUGCAGCCACUACCCUUUGAGUGCGCACUAGGUAAAACCUCCGCUCCUAUGCAAUAUCUCGCAAACUACAUAGGAGAGGUAACGCGCACUAGGCAAGUCCGGUAUGACAAACUCGACCCAGAAGGCAAACCCUUGCUUUCGCUGGCAAGGAGUUUCGAACUUCAGACCUCCAACAUGGAAGUCCCCAGCCCAAACCACUGGGCCACCCCAUGGAACGUCUGGAACAAUUAGGAAUGCAGGGAAAACUAUGUCAGUUUUCAUCUUGAUGAAAAAGUGUCAUCUUGAUGAAAAACUGUCGGUGUAUCACUGCAAAUGCAAAACAAAGAACGUGGGAUACAAAAACUGCAAGCUAUCAGAGACAUAUUUCGUUAGGCAGUUUCCCAUGGGAGUAUAUGAGACAUCCCUUGUUCUUCAACUCUUUUCACUCAUAGAAUCCUCCUGAUUUCUUAAUAUUUCUCGUUAUAAUUUUCCCCUUUAUGAGAGAAACAUAACUUUUAAAGAAUUUGUGUAACACAGGUAUAUAUAACUUUAAAAAACUGAUAGGCAACUGGGUUUAAAGUCACUAACCUGAUCUUGUCGAAGGCAUUUCAGUUUUAUCUUGUACAAGUUCACAUAUUUCCGGCGGCAAUUUCUAGCAUGACAAAUUUAAGUACAAUUACUUUCACAAUUCACUUAUAUAGAAUGUCAACAUAAAAUUAAAAGGGACAAGUGAAAUGUCUCAUUAUUUAUGAAUAGUUGGUGUGACUGUCCGCAUUGGUUGAAGGAAUGAGUUGUUCUCUCCAUACAUAGUCUUGAACAAUCCUUACACUUCAACUUUUGGGGUUGAGUGCGUCCAUGGUCCACUUAUUUUACAGUUGAAACACAAUUUCAUCCCUAAAAGGAACUCUAUAUAGAUGUACCAAAAAACGUUAUACAGAUGAAGCAAAAGUGUGGCAGGAAGAAGUUUUACUCUGAAUCACUUCAAACUAGCUUAUUAAAGGAAAACUAUAGAAAAUCCUUUUAAGUAAACCCUAAUGCUUCUACAUUAAAAAAAUAAUAAUAAAUAAAAGCCCAAAUGAAAAUUAUCUUCACCAAAAAGGUUGUAUGCUCCGCAAUUGUAUCCAUAUGAUAAGAAUCUAAAGCUAUAGCCCUAAACAAGGUAAGAUACCCAACUCUCUCAAUCAAGAAGCUUAUUAAAACAAAACAAGAGGAGUCAAAACAACUAGGAAAUAAACCCUUAGUACUAAGAAACUAAUCAGAUAAAAGCAAUAUUAAGACUCCGAAUUCCCAAAGUAAAAGAAAGUAGAUAACGACUAGAUUCACUGCAGUACGAACAGUAACUUUCUCUUCCCUUUGCUACACCAACUCUCAGACUCGGAAAAUAAUUGUUGUAGCUCUUAUAUGUAGAUUCUAUAGAGAGAAAUUAACAACAUAUCCAGUGAAAUCCCAAAAGUGGGGUAUGGGAGAUCAUACAUGUAGGGGCAGUUGAUAACAUUGACAUGCUUUCCCAAAUCUAGCAGUGCAGGGUAAGGGCUCACCCUACUACCAUAUGAUUACCUUUGGGCGCAUCGAACCAGGAUCUCGCCAUUUAGAAUCCGGUCAUUUAGAGAGUCAGAGAAGAGUUGGCAGGGUGGCAGAAAAGAUUCUUAUCGAAAGGAGGCAAAAUAAAUGCUUAUUAAGAUCAUGAUAUUGAGUAUCCCUACAUAUUACAUGUCCCUGUUCAACAGUCCUCCCAGGUUAUAGGUAAGAUGGAGAGGUUGCAAAGAGAUUUUCCAUUGAAUGUGGCGGACGGAGCAAAGAAGUUUCAGUUCGUUCAUUGGGAAUCUGUGACAUAUCCUAAACAGUGGGGAGGACUUGGUGGUAAAGACUUGAAGACUUUCAACAAAGCUCAUCUAGGUAAAUGGUUGUUGAGAUUUGGGAUGGAGGGAGAAGCUUUGGUGGAAUGGAAGGGGGUGGAGAACAAAAGGGAUUACAAUUCUUUUUGAGUGUGGUGUGUGGAUGAAUAUAAUGAAGGGUUGGGAUGUUUUCGCUGGUAAAUUACUUUUAGGGUUGGCAAGGGGAGGGAGUUAGGUUUUGGGGGGCAAAAGUGUUGUGGAAGUUUGGUGCUUAUGGAUGAAUUCUCAGUACUGUAUCGGGUUUCAUGCCAAAGUGAAUUAUCUGUUACACAAGUUAGGGGGACACAAAGGGGUGGAAGUUUUUCGGAUUUGAGGUUCAGGAGGAAUUUUCAGGACUGGGAGGUGACAGAGCUUUAGAGAUUGCUAGAUAUACCCCAAAAGCAAUGUGAGCCAGUUGGGUCCAAUGCUUUGAGUUAACAAAGUGCUUUCUAUCAAGUCCUUCUAUGGGAAGCUUUUGGUGAGGGUGGAGGAUGUUCUUCAUAUGGUGCGGUAUGGAUACCAAAGGUGCCGACUGCCGAGGAAUAUGUGCUUCUUCAUGUGGUUAGCUACUGGAGGGUGAUUUUGAGAACCUUAAGAAGUGAAAAGGUUGUCCACAUAAGCUGGUGUUUCCUAUGUAAGGAGACUGGUGAGGAUGUGGAUUAUAUUUUAUUAAAUUGCAAAUUAGCCAUGAGGUAAUGGGAGGAUACAUUUACAUGGUUUGAAGUCACUGGGUAAUGACAAGAUCAGUGAAGGAGUGGAUGUUCAGCUGGAAGUAGAGCAAGGAGAAGAAGGCACAAGCCGUGAAAUGCUACCCCUCUAGCUCUAAUGUAUGUGGGUCAUUUGGAAAGAGAGAAACAGGAGACCUUUGAUGGGCUAGAGAUGAGUAGUCUCUAAUCCCUUAUUUUCUUUUGGUACACCCAUGUAGUUUCUGUUUGUACAGAGGAUUGGGUGACUUUAGAAGAGAAGCAUAUUUUUGUGGUUCUCUUUUUGAUAUAUCUCUUGUAUACAGCCAAGUUAGCCUUUUUAUUACCAAUGAAACCCUUGAUUUUUAAAAAAAAACAAGGGUGCAUCACUGGACUUUUUCAUCACAGUAAUGACUAGUGGUGGCAAAUGGGCACGUUGGGUCAAAUGUGGGCGGCUUGAAAAUGGGUAAACAUAAAAUGGAUAAUCAUCCAACCCGCCCAUAUUUGAUAUAGGUAAAAAUUGAUUGGGUAAUAAAUGGGUUGGGUAAAACACUAGUUUACCUAUAUUUUCAUGAAUAAAUAGUAUUUUACUUCAUAAUUCAAUAUGGAGAGGAUAUUUUAGUCUUUUUCAGAUGAAAAAUGUUGAACAUGCUUCAUUUAGUUUUAUUGUAUCAUAAAAAUUUAAAAAAAAAUCCUAUAAAUUUUCAAUAUAAAAAAGCUUAUGUAAUAACAAGAUGAAAAUAUUUUUAAUUUCAAAGUAGAUGACUAUUUGCAUUUUAGGACUAAAACAUGCUUAUUUUAACUUUAAGCAAUGUCAAUAUCAAUAAAUGAUUUGUUUAUUUUACACUAUUAUUGAUUAUCCAAUAUAAAAUUAAAUAAAUAAAAUGUAAUUACAAUUAACAAAAGAAAUGUACAUUUGAAUUAUAUAUAUUUGGAAAGUCAAAGACUUCACCUUUUCAAUUACAGAGAAGAAUAGUUAGUUCUAUAGAACCUCAAAAGGAAGAGAAGUUACACUAUUUUUAGCGAUAUCAUGAAUUUUGAGUGAAUACAAGUAGAAGCUUAACACAUUUGGUUAAUCAUAUUUUAUCCAUAGUUUUAUGGGUCAAAUAUGGGAAUCAACCCAUAUUUUACCCAUGUGAAAAAACACUCACCCAACCCAUUAAAAUAUGGGUGGGUUGGGCGGUCACAAAAAUAUAGGCUCAUUUUGCCGGCACUAGUAAUGGCAUACCCAAUUCCAUCCAACACAAGUGGCAAAUGAAUGCCAAGACAAAAAAGACAGGCCAGGGUAUCAAAAAUCAUUAAAUUUCCGUCGGGUAGUGAAUGAGUAUCCUUUUUAAUAAUGAGUAGCAGGAGGUUUUGACUUUCAACAUUCACAAAGUGCAAAUGAACAUGAAGCAGUAAUGAAAUGUCAAAUAAUUAACUGUACUAGACUUACAUCUAAAUAAUCUAACAAACAAAACAAAAAAGGAAGUCCUCCAAAUGUUUUGCUAUGUUGAUUGGAGAAAAGUUUCUUGAGAAGAUCAACUUACAGUCUCUCUCCAAGGUACUUCCAAGAAGUUCUCCUCAACCUCUGUUGAACAUCCAGUAAAACAGAUUUUUGUGCAUACUGCCACCAUGCUGUUUGCCAGCCUUUAAUCUUUUUACCUAAAGGACUCCACCAAGGACGAAACCGUCCAUACCUACAUGGACAGACAACAGAACCACUUACAAGAACAUCAACAAUUUAGAAAGGAUAUUCUUUUCUGAUACAUCUGAUGGAUGUUUAACCAUAAAGUAAGCAAGAAUAGUAUGAUGUGAUGUGCACAUCACACUCCCUGUUCCAAGCAUCUCAACAUUUUUAGCAUUUUCAAUUUUUUUGUGGAGCACAAAAUUUAUACCAUCCAAGCAUUGUUGAGCUUUCUGGAGAGUAAUAUUUCAGUAUAGCUCAGUUCUCACAUAAAUAAGUUACAUGUAUUGGGGAUUUAUCACUUUUCUGUUAUUGCAAAAUUCAGUUGUAUUUAUGGAGAUGAGAAUAUCAACCGACAAUGCAGGCUUUCCCCAUAAGAUGUUUAAGAAUAUAAAACAACAACUUAACACACAAUUCUAUUUGCAUAGAGAUUCUUUCAUUCGCCAUAUGUAAUGACCCAAAAGGCCAUUUUUGGAAUCUUUUAUAAAAUUACCGUUUAUGCUUCCCGAUAAUUGCCCUGAGUCAUUUCCGAGCAGUCGGUGAAGUUGGUUUGAGAAUUUUGAAACUAUUUGUUUCACUAUAGUUAAUUAGUUGACGGGUAGUUGUUAAGUAAUUAAUUUAAUUAGUGGUUAAUGGGCCAAGUCCAUAAUUUAAUUACUACCCCAUUUCACUUAACUUAAGUAUUAGAAUAAUUAAAUAGGAUUUUAGCAUUUAUGAGCUAUGUUGAAAUAGGUGAAGGUGGCAUAACACAAGAGGCAACAUCUUUUUCAAGGUAAAAGCAUACUAACGCCCUUACUCGUUCAAUGUGUAUAGAAAAUUGUAUUGCAUCUACAUUAGCAUAUUAAUAUAAUAGUUGUUAAGGAAAAGGAACAAAGUCGAUUGAAUUAGUACUGUUGUGAAAUCUUUAGGCCAAAAGUAGUGGGCAAUUAAAUUUGAACCGAUAACUACGUAAUGAUGACAAAAUUGAAUAGGAAAUGAGAGACAUGAUGAGGUAAUCAUUGGAAAAUGAUAUUUUUAAGUAAUUCGUUAAUGUUCUGAAUAUUUCCUGGUAAACUUGAAUAGUCCUGGUUUGUUGUUAGAAGUCAGGGGUUAUGUAUUAAAUUUCAAUUUAAGAAUUAUUUUUGAGGUCAUCGUAUUAUGAUUCAAGUUUUGAUAUAUAGAUAUAAGUAAUUAUACAUAAGAUGGAUUUUAUUAUAUGGAUUCCAUUAAAGUUAUGUUAUUUGGAGGAAUUGAGACUUAACUUAGGCUUAAAAUUUGAAAAAUACGAGAGUUGACAUGUUAAUUGGCAUCAAAAUUGGGAACUUGAUAUUAAUAUGGACAUUGGUAGUUUCAAAAUCUUAUUGUGAUUAUUUGUUUGAAUAGAUUGCUUUGAUUUGGAAGUCCAACGAAAGGGGAAGGCUCAAAUCCCAAAGUGAAUUGUUGAUUAAUUGAGGCAAGUGAAUUUCUCAACCCUUGUUAGGUGUAUAGAAUUGUGUAUUUCCUUGUGGAUGUGUUGGGGAGUAAUGGAAUUCGGUGAUGGGUUGACUUGUUCAUAUUGAAUGAUCCUGAUGAGGAAAAGGGGGUAAUAAAAGGCAACUUGAUUUUACAUUGAUGUGUGAUGUGUUGAGAAUGGUUUGAAAGGCGUAUCGAUUCAUUGUUGAUAUCGUAUCACAAUUGUGUUGUUGUAAUUUGUGCAUUGUUAUGGACAUGGUCGUCUUCUUAUUAAUUGUGUAAACAUGGCAUUGGCAUAGCAUCUGAGACAUGGUUGUGACAAAUGUUACGUGGAUUGAGGAAGAAUAAACAAUUAAAGAGAAUGUACCAUUUCAAGGGAUGUGUCGCGUGCCCCGACGGAUAUUAUUAUUCAAAGGAUGUGUCGCACGCCGCGACGGAUAUUAAAAUUGGAGGGACGUGGUGCACGCUGCAACGGAUAUUAUGAUUUGAAGGAUAUGUCGCAUGGCGCGCCGGAUUCUAUUAUUGAGGGUCGUAUCGCACGCCGCAAUGGAGGGCAUGGAAAUAUAUAUCACCCAUGGGUCCCAAAUUGGUAGACAUCGGGUAUGUAUCAUUAGGUCAUACAUGCAUCUUUAUCAUUUGUGAACUUGCGAGUACUUUUCUAUGGAACUUGAUCUUGUGUGUGGCUGAUCUAUAAUUGUUGAAGUGAUGUUGUUGAACUAUGUGUUAUUGAAAUUGUGAACUAUUAGGUUAGGUAGGGCUGGGCUGAUUUUAUGCAGGUUGUAGUUGUGGAGAUUCGUUUGGGAUGGUAGGAGUACCUGUAUUCUAUACCUUAGCUUUGUGUUUAGGAGUUUGCUUGUUAAGUGUCAUGUGGUUGGGUACUCACCCCUUGCUUCUACAAUUAUGUAUGUUACAAGCCCGAAUUUUCGUGAUACUCUUCCUUCUUGUCCAUGGCUUACUGUGGAGAUUUGUGAGGUAGUUGUUUUUCAUCUCAACGGACCCUCUUACUCCCAUUUAUGAUUUUGUUCUACUUUAAAGAUAACAUCACUUGAGACUUGCAUUUUCUUACUUUAGAGAUAACAUCACUUGAGACUUGCAUUUUCUUUCAAAUCUAUUGUAAUACAUUAGAGGCUUGUACACGUGAACCUGGUUUUUGGGGGUUUAAUUAAGUUGAUUUGUUAUCCGCAUUAUUAUUUGUUGUUAAACAUAUCAUUCUUAUUUUACUUCCGCACUUCUCAUUAUAUUUGUAUUUUAGGCUUACUUGUCUUAGUGGGAUAUGACAAGUAUGAUCACAUCCAUUUUUAGGUCAUUACACCAUAAAUAAGAUUUUAGCAGCACAGCUAAUCAUGAAAAUAUAUCGACCAGCACAGCUUAAACAAUACUCAGUCUCCUUUUAAGUUGUUGGAAUCAAAAGUUCGGUUGAGAAAGCUGAAGCUCUAGGGAAUGAAUAUGUACAAAAUUUAGAUAAUAUAUUAAUAGGAGAUGUUGAGAGACAAACAGCAAUGCAAUGGAACUUAGCAACUGUUUCUAGGUUGAGGACAUCUAGUUCUCAAUCCUUCUUUCAUCAAUAAAAUAUCCUUCAUCAUAAAAGAUGGGAAGGGGAAACAGGAAAAAAGUCCGAGAAAAUCUCUCAAAGUCUGAGUGAAAACAUAGUUCCGAGGUAAAACUAUUGUGAUCCUCAAAGAAAAGGUUUUGACAAGAAAGCUGAUACAAAUGAAAAACUAUUGGAUAUGAUUAAAAAAUUAGAAGGGAAAAGGUGACAAGAUCUUACUUCUCUCUCAAUUGGCAUGUCAGCAAAUAAUCACAAAUGCUCAAGAUUUGUUGCAUUUGAAUCUCAUCCAGUGAAACAACCUAAUAUGCAAUGAGAAAAGAGAUCAGCAACUAUGUUAAUGAAUGGCGAAUGAAAUACUUUGACACAGUAGGAAAUAUCCUGUACUAACCACACUAUUCAACUCUACACUUAUGAAGUAUUGAGGAACAUCUUUCUCAAGCCUUCCUAAACGAUUUACCUAUACAAGAAUGGAUAACAGCUCAUUAGAAAACAAAUGAAAAAGCAGAAAGUUGACAAACAAAAAGACAUGUUAAUUUCACCGUGUAAUACAAAACAAGUGCACAUGAGCCUAUUAAAUUAAUCAACUCUUUCAAAAUCUAAUGCAGAUUUAAGUCAGGUAAAUUUCCCAUGAGGAAAAGAAAACUAGAACUAUAUAAAAAAAAUGUUUAAAUAGCUAUUUAGAGAAUACAGUCAUGUUGAACCAUAGUUUUUACUUAUUAGUACGAAAAUGAAGGAAAACCUGCAGUAGAGGUUUAAUUGGUGAGUUUUAAGCAUUAAGAGUUGGGGUGAUAUUCGUAACCACAAUGGAAAGCUUCUACAGAAAGGGAAAAUGUUGGCUGUGGUGUGGUUUAUUCUUGGAGCUUUUCAAGAUCACUCUCUCUUAAAACACAGUACAUGGGAUUGAGUGGUAUUUGUCCUUUAUGUGGUGUAAGGCUAUAGGCCUCCAAUGAGAUAUUUACUCGACAAAUCUUCAGAACUAAAUUUAUCUCUUCUAGCCUGAUGACAACUAGUUUUCCUCAGUGACAUAUUUUGAUAGAGGUGGAAUCUAGGCCAGCUUCCGCACACCUUGAUUACUCCACCACUGCCUACUACCUCACACCAGUACAUGUACCGGGUAACUCUGCUAAAUAUAUUCCAUCUGCAUAUCAAAAAUAGUUAAGCUUGAAUUCAGAUGGAAAAUGAGAUGUGAGAUAAGAGUUUGGUUAUUCCAUCAGUGCAUCUUUUGUUGAACCAUUUGGAGAUAGCACAUUAAGAAUAAAGCUUCACGGGAUUUCUACCACUCAAAUUUAAUAUUCAAAUGCAAGAUGAGAAGUUGGAUGUCCAUCAUAAUAGAAGCAUCCUUACAUCAUAUUUUCCUUUUUCGACAUGCAAAACUGCCAUUUUAAGGAGGUUGUCAAGUAAUGAAAUGCACCUUUAAUAGAGCAGAUUAGAUACAGAUGACUCGUAUAGCUCGUACGAACUAACUUGGAAUUGAGGUUUAGUUGAAUGAUGGUGAAGUAAUGUUGGACAAAAAGUGCUCUUGAGGAAGUAAUUCAUGGAGGAUGUAUUGCAUGGAAAGAAAGAUAUGGAACCACUUAUGAAAUGUCUUAUAUUUCAAUUAUUGGGAAGCACACAAGUGGUCCAGUUAAUUUUAACCUAUAUAAUAUAGAAAGCAAUAAAGUAUGCCAUUUUAGAUAAUGGAUUAUUAAAGACUCGAGUAUGACUGCUCUCUUUGUUUUUAAUUCAAAACACAAAAGAAAUGAACAAAUAACGGAAGAAAAAAAAUUAAGUAUCAGAUUCACAUACCGAAAGAGACAAAGUUACAUCUAGCGGGACCAACAUGCAUCCGUCAUUAUUUGCUUCUGAUUCUCUAGCCUGACUGUUAGAAUCCACUGCAUUGUGUCUCAUCACCUCAUGACUACUUUGUAAGGUAUUACAAUAGAGUUCCAAUCCUUUAACUUCAACAAGUUUGUUGACACUCCCAUCUCUAACUUUCCCACUAAAAGAUGGACAAAGGACAAGUAAUGAUUAUAACAUCCAAAUAUAAAUCAAAAGACUCGGAUAAGACACUAAUUAAGUAAACAAAAAUGUGUUCGCUCUAAAAGUGCUUCCAAGUGUAUUUUGCUGGAAAGUGGUUUUAGGGAAAACUUGACCUUUUUCAGCUUCAGAAAAACAACUUCAGAAGCACUUAUUUUCUCCCAAACGCUUGGUCAAACACCUCACUUUUUUAAAAAUAAGCAUUUUUAGCUUUCCAAAAGCUUGGCCAAACAGCCUAUAGAUAUGUGCAAAUUGACAGACAAAUCAACCUAAUACUUGCUGGUUAUUAUCACGGCCCACCUUUUACGUAUUAAAGGAUCCAAUUCCAAGGAAGAACAUAAGAUUAUCCUCAUCAAAUAGACUAUCUCACGCAUAAGAAAUAUGACUAGCAGAAAGAACAGUACAUUUUUUAAGCAUCGGAAAUUCAUCAAGACAAGUGACUGCAUCAAAGAAAAAAGAUACAACACCUACUCAAAAAAAUAGGGGACAGAGUCAUACCUAAUUAGUUGUCUCAUAAUUGUCAAACUUGAGAGCUUCAGACCAAACACGGUUACUGCCUGACGGAGAAGGAAACAACUGCUUGGAAUGAUGACUAAUAUAACAGAACAUUUUAGAAUAAUAUCGACACUUAAUGAAAUAAACAACAUUUCACUUAAUUCUUACAAGUAACCUGAACCAAAAAAGUUACAAUUGAACCCCCUACUCCAGUAAAGAAAUGGCUAAAGAAAGACUCAUCGCAGAAAAAGAUGUUACAGAAGACGGAGGCAAGUUCAUUGUAAUAUUUCGUUUAUACAGAAAAAAACUUGUUCGAGAAGAAUGAGUAAUACUACAUCUGGCUUAUGGAUUCUCUGUGUGAGAAAAAAGUAAAGUUCAACUGUAAAUGAUCCAAAAACAGAUAAUAUUCUGCAACUAGAGCUCUCGAGCUACUUUAAAGAUCUAAAAUUGCAUCCCCUUGGAAUAGAGAAUGAUUGUAGCCAGAAAUCUCACCAUGUGUCAUAAAAAUUUGAUAGCAAUUAUUGUUUAAGAUUCAGCUCCUUCUAUGGUUUGUUUAAAAGCCUUGGAAGAGCACAUUGGUUCAUGUUAAGAGCCGUAUAAAUGAGAGAACAAGUAGGCUGAAUGACAUGCAAAGACAAAAUAUGUAACUUUCUGCCUUCGAUUUUAGCAAUGUUAAUAAUACAUAAAAGGGAUUAAUAAAUAUUAACAUGCAAAUAACUUUUAUCCUAAGAAAAUUCAAGGUUAGAAUUCACAUCGCACUUCUGCCUAUAAAAUCUAAAAAGUUCUUUUGACAUAAGCAUCAUCUUCUUCAACUAGAGUCUAACCCGCAUCGAAAAGCACAUAAAUGGCUUCUUCCUUGAGAGACCCAUAAAUGUGUCUUACAUUUCUUUUAUUACUAGUAACACCUUUUAUGUCAAAUUUGUUUUUUGAUAAGGUAAACGUAUUUUCAUUCAUAAACAUGGCCAAAAAGCUGGCCGUAUAACAGGGGUGUAUACCAAAAGGUAAAGAAUCUACAAUAAUAAAUGAUUCUCGCAAACUCCACCCAAUCUCCUAUACAACUUGGAACUCUAUAGGUGCAGCAAAAGAAAAAAAAGGACCAGAGGCAACUCAAUUGAGAAAAACACGACUCUACACCAUCAAAAGCUCUCAUAUUUCUCUCCAUACCACCCACAUCAACGCGAGUGAAACCAUGUUUCAUGCCCUGCGUCUUCUCCUCUUUCUCCCGCUCUGACAAUUAAAUAUCACCUCUUUCGUAGUUCUUGGCAUUGCCCUUAAAAUACCAAACCACCAAAAUAUAUACUAUAUGACCUCAUGGUAAAAUCACAAUGAAGAAGAUGAUCCACAUCCUCACCCACUUCCUUACAUAUCUAAGACCAGCGGACACAAACUACUUUUUGCUUUCUAAGAUUUUCCAACAUGAAGAUCACCGCUCUAAUAGCUAACCAAGUGAAAAAUAAAACACCUUUGGAAUCCAACUACUUUACAAGGAAAAAAAUCCUCCUCCUUAACCAAAAGUUCUUUUAUAAAAAAAAGGAAUUGACCGAGAACAUACCAUUAUUCCCCGUGUUCAACCACAAAGCAUUGGGAUUAUCUACCUCUGUGACCUUUAUAUGGGGCAAAUCCAACAAUAUUGGAAACUCAAUCACCUCCCGUCACGGAAAUCCCUCCUAAAUCUAAAGUGCCAAAAAGUCUCUCCACAUUGUGUCCUAAUAUGUUGAAUUGUCAAGUCUCUUUGGCAAGAAAUUCUGUAUAGGCUCUGGAACUCAUAUUUCAACAAAUUAUCUCCACACCACCUAUGUUCCCAAAAUCUUACGCUCCUCCCAUCUCCAACCUUGAAUGAGAUGUUUAUUCUGAAUUCCCUUCAAGAUAUUCCUCCACAAAUAGCACCCAGAAGGCAUAGUCACAUCUCUAGUUUCCUAUUCCCCUUCCACAGCCCCGUAGUUAUCACUUAAGAUCUCUCUCUACAAAGCAUUAACAUACACCCCAAACCUCUAAAGCCAUUUGCCUAAAAAGGCUUUGUUAAACGCCUUUAAGUCUUUAAUGUCGAGCCCUCCCCAUCGCUCGUAUCCCAAAGAAAAUUUUCUUGGAUUUUUUUAACUUUCUUGAGACCGAAGUUGAAGCAUGAAACAAAGACAUGUAAUAAGUAGGAAUGCUCAAAAGAGUACUCUUAAUGAGCUUUUCUUUCAUCUUUGGACAGAUAGCUUUUUGGGCAACCUGUUAAUAUCUUCUCAGUCCUCCGAAGAACCAAAUUUCACACUGUAUGAUUAUUGUUUGAAGCACUUAAUGGUAAACCGAUAUAGUUAGUCAAGAGGGCUCCAAAUCCAGCAAUUCAAAACCUGAUCGAGAUUCAAUGACACCCGCCUCAACUAUGGGAAUAAUCUCGCACUUCCUAUAAAUUAACUUUAGAGCCUGACACGACUUGAAACCAACUAAAUAAUCCAAUUUGGUCCUAUUUGCAUCAAAAAAAACUGACUAUAAUCCGCAAACAACAAGUAAGAAAUUGGAAGAGUUCCAACACCCAACAACAACAUUGAAACCCUUAAUGAAUUAUCUGUGACGGCUCUAUCCAUCAUCUUGCACAACACUUCCAAUACUAUGACAAACAACAUUGGAGAAAUAGAAUCCCCUCAUCUUAAGCCCCUUAGAGCUCCCAAGAAAACGCAAGGAUUGUCAUUCACCAAAGCAAAAUAUCUCAUUAAAGAGAUGCAAGAAUUGAUCCAUUUUCUCCAUUUCUCCCAAAAAACCAUUAGCAGCAUAACAACAUCCAGGAAACUCAAGUUCACAUCAUAGGCCUUUUCAUGAUCUGGCUUGCAAAUACACCUAGCACUCCUUGCUUUUUCCUUGAAUCCACCACUUCAUUCACCACAAAGAUUGCAUCCAAAAUUCGUCCACUCUCCACAAAAGCAUUCUGGGAAAUAGAUAUAGUCUCGUACAUCACCUUCUUAAGUCUAACGGAAAGCACCUUAGAGAUGAUCUUAUAAAAGUUUGCAAGUUAAUAGGUCUAUAAUCCUUCAUGCUUGAGGCUCCCUCCCAUUUAGGGAUGAUAACAAUAAACGAUUCAAACUUUUUUCAAUAUCACCUUUAUUUUGACCGUAAUCCAACAAUGUUGAAAAAAGCCAACGACAAACUAUCAGGCCCGGAGAUUUGUCACCCACGCAACACUCGAACCCCUUUUUCACUUCUCGAUUUCCAUCUCAAGCCACACACACUCCUCCUCACUGAUGUGAUCGAAGUCUAAAUCCCCAAAUUAGGCCUCCAAGUCUCUUCGUCUUUGAACAAAACCUUCGUAAAAUUCUACUACCCCUUCUACUUCAUCCUUCCCCAAAUGCACAACCUCAUUUACCUCCACCAACUCUAUGAAAUUCUCUCUUAUUUGAUACUGCUACCCUAUGAAAAAAUUUAGCUUUUGAAUUCCCUUCCUCCAACCACAAUGCCCUCGGCAUUUGCCUCCAGCUAACCUCUUAGGCAAAGCCAACACAGCUAGGUUCCUUUUCAACCACUCUUUCUCACUCCCCUCUAACUCGCUCCCUAUUUCAUCUUCUCUAACUCCCCUAUUUUAUUCAUAACCCCCCUCAUUUUCACUUUUACCCUCCCAUAUACCUCUUAAUUCCACACACUUGUGUCUUUUUUAACCAAUUUCAAUUUCUUGGCAAGCCUAUAAGAAGGCCACCCCUCCAAUGCAUAACUCGUCCACCAACCAGCCACUCUAUCCCCAAAACCCGACACACUUACCACAUGUUUUCAGAGCUGAAAGGAGAUCUCAUAUGUCUAACUCUGCUUCCAUCCAACAUGACGGUGCAAGUGAAUGAGGCACUUGAUAAAGGCCAAAAUUCUACUUCAUCCUAGAUAGUAGGUUACAAAAUGGACAUGUAGCACAAUGCACAAUGAGAUGAGAGAGAAGCCCAGAGAAAACCUAUCAAUGAAGGAUUGCUAAAAAGCUGAAAGUUAAGGACCAAGAAAACAGCCCAACAAGCUCAAGAAUUCAAAUGGAAAGCAAAUCGACUACAGAAGGAAAUAUAAAGAUUCUCAAAGACAAUUAGGUAAAACUAUACCGAAGAUGUCAGCAUGUCACGGUAAAGAACAUGAACAUUUCUGAUGGACAACUGAAUGCUGUCAAGGAUCUGAAGAAGGAAAUGAGGAACAAAGUAUUAGAGAAGAAUGAAAAUAUGUGUAUAUAUACAACUAAGUAGCACAACCAAGCCAAAGAAAUUUGUAAGGAAAAAAAGAUCCCAGCAGGUUCAGUCAGUGCUUUUGACAAAUAAAUAAUACAACCUUUGCAGUAAUGUAUGAAGUGAAUGAGUUUCCAGCCUGACUAUCUGCAAAACCCAAAAGAUUUUUUAAGAAGUAUACAAAAGAACAUCGAAAAUUAAACAUACAAACAUCAACGUAUUGAUCUCUACUAAGAACCCAUUUUGCAUCGCUCAAAAUUCACAAUUUGUCAUACAAAAUUUUAGUAACUGUAAUACCCAUAUUAAGAAAAAAAAAUAUGUGAGUUAUUAAUGGACAAAUUAUUUCUUUUUGUUUUAAUUAAAUCAACUGCUGCAAAUAAAGAAAAUAGAAAGUUAAUGGGCCAUAGCUCAUAACUCACGUGAUAAAAAAAAGCUUUUGAAAAAAAAAAAGGAAAAAGACUGGGUAUAACCUCUCUGUUUAAAGGAAAGCUGGGAAGAGAAAAAAACCCAUCGCACGAGGCUUAUAAUUAAAAAGAGAAGGAGGAAAAAAGGUAAGUUUCUGAUCUUGAAUUAUAUAUUUUAUUGUAUAUUCCAUGACUACAGAUUGGGUUUCAGAAUUGGAGAAUCAUGAGUUAAAGAAACAGUGAAACUUGCUCAGGAACUAAUGGAGUGCAUUUAAUUAUUAGACUAUAAGUUUUUGUAUAGUGGCAUAUAUGAAGUAAUAGUAGACGGGCAGUAAGGUUUUGUUGGCUAAUUACGAUGAAAAAUUAAUCAAGCUGAGGCUGUUUUGUGUGGUUAAAGCACCAAUUAGGUGACUGGACAGAUUUCGAGUCCUUCAUGGAACCUCUAGGGCUGGGUAUCUUAAUGUAGUAUGAAAUAGCAUGUAUUAAGAGGUUAACACGAAGUUAUGAAUGUGAUUAUAGAUUGACCAAUGGAAUUCAUACGGAUUACUAGAGUAACGAGCUUGGUAUUUCAAAUGAAAAUACUGAGUAGUAAUCUUACCAUAAUGUGUUUUGUAACUUUCAUGAUUUAUACGUGGUUUAUAAAGUGAAUGAUUUUACCAAAAUGUUUUGAACUUGCAUAUGGGACAAGACUUUUCCUUGAUAAGAUACCGAAAUAGUUAUUUGAGAUGAACUCAUUUUUAUAAGAUAUAUUUAUUGCUACUUGAGAUAUGAUUACCGUUAACGAAAUAGUUCCAUUUACAUUGAGAAAUAGCAUUUUGACAUAUGUUUUGAUCAAAGAUUUAUAUACUACGAUUUGAUAAGAACUUGAAUGUCGUACACCCUUUUGGAAAUGUUUCUAUUGAUUACAAGGAAAAGUAUAAACGGGAGUAGACCUUGAUGAAUCCCGUAGCAGCGGGUUCAUUAGACCUGCUGCACCUUGCAGUUACAGAUUACAAAUAAAGCCCUUGCUAGUGGGAAGGUAGAACUAGCAAUGCAGUCACCGAUAUCCCUCGAGUAGGGAUCUACCAAUAUGAAUAAAUAACUCCCUUAUGAGGAGUUCACCGUUAUUGGUUUACUUCUACAUAAUUCAUCUUUGGACACCUCCCAAACAUAAGAUUGAUAUGAAAGUGUUCCUUAGAAUUUAUUUCUAAACUAGUAAAAUUACUCAUGCCUCGUGUGGGAAUUUAGUAUCAUGAAAUUUAUAAAAUAACUAGGUAAAUUACACAUUUUAUUAAACUUACAUAUGAUUAUUCGGUAAUAUGACCGACAGUAAUGAUUAAGUUUCAUGGAAAGUGAGGAAUGAAAAAGGUUCAUUAGAAGUUUAAUUAAUGUAUUUCAAUUCGAUUACUCUAUAGCAAAAAAGAAAAUACAAUAGUGGCAGAAAUAAAAGUUUUGUUUACGAAAAAACCAAAUGUAAUAAAUUCAACCAUUUCAACAACGAUAUGAAUUGUGGAAUUAGAGGUGCAAAAGUAGUAACGUGACAUUGCAAUCGAAAUCAAUUUUCUUUGUUAAUACGAAGAAACCUGUAGAAAGGGACAAAAGAGAAGAUCAAUUUUCAAUUAUCUUCUAAGAAACUUUUAACAAAGUUAAAAGAAAAAUGUCACCAAAAUAGCAAAAAGAGUUGUCAUACUUACAUGAAUCACACGACUUAUAAUAAAGAUUAAGCUCCAUGAAAUAGGAGGAUGAAAACUUUUAGGAAUGAAACAAACUUCAUAAGAAGCUUAAUCAAUGUAAUUGAAUUCAACUAUCCAAUGGAAAAAACCUUCAAAUAAUAGUGGCAGCAACUCCCUCUAUUUAUAGAUAACAUAGGGUAGUGUGAAUAAAUAUUUAUUGUGCCUUAUCGGAAAGGUCACAACUCUUUGGAAAAGUUGCAACCAUUUGGAAAGGUCACAACCUCUCAUAAAAGUCACAAUUUUCAUAAAAGUCGCAACUCUUCAUAAAAGUUGCAACUCUUCAUAAAAGUUGCAACUUUUUAUAAAAGUCACAACUCUUCAUAGAAGUCGUAACUAUUCAUAAAAGUCGUAAUUUUUCAUAAAAUUCACAAUUUUUCAUAAAAGUCACAACUAAUCAUAAAAGUCACAUAUUUUCAUUAAAAUCGCAACUCUUCAUAAAAGUCACAAUUUUUCUUGAAAAGGGAAGGCUAGUGUUGGAAAUAAAUAAAUUUAAAAGGGAAUUCUGGUUUGUGGUGAUGCCACGUAGGCGGACCUAAUGUUUUCUUUUAUAUAUAUAUAUAUAUGAGAUAUAUGAUACUUAAACUUAUCGGUCAUUAAAACUAAACCACUACAUUAUCUUACCAUUACAUAGUAACUAACAUUAAUAAUGAAAAGCAAAACGAAAAUUAUAACAAUCUUGUCAUUUAUCCUUUAUAUCAUAAGCAUAAAUUAAUGAUUGUAAAAAUACAUACCAGCGAUCUGUAACAAUAAAAUGAAACAUAAAGAAAAAAUCGAGUCCACUGAAUGCACAGGGGAUAGUAUCCCCUUAAGAAAACUAUUGAGGUUUAAAGGAAUAGAUCCUCUCAGGAUCAAACGAUUUUAUAAACCAGUGUAUUUAUAAAAAAACUGGUGUUAGUGAGCCACUCAAUCGGAGCAAAGUACAGGAAUAUCUAGUUGUGCAGAAGAAGUAGUAGUUCCGAAUUUUGUUGUUUCAAAAUGAGAGAAAAUCUCUCUAUUUAUAACAACAAAGGGUAGUGUGAACAAACAUUUAUUGUGCUUAAUUGAAAAGGUAACAACUAUUUGGAAAAGAUGCAACCCUUUGGAAAGGUGACAACCUUUCAUAAAGUCGUAACCCAGCCCAAGAAGCUGCUGCUGAGCCCGUAGAGACUGGAGCCA